rnacentral:lncRNA from 1 species
GUGUCGGGAGAGCGGUGUUCAGCACGGCAGCUGCUACGGAGCAAGGCAGAGAGACAGGUGCUCAAGCGCCUAGCCAUGAUGCUGCACAGUUCCAGUCCCAAGGGAUCUGGCACGAAAAUGCCCCCACUGGGGGUAGUGGGCGGGGCAGCUGCAAUUCCCUUGAUUCUUGAAGGGCUGGCACAUGCAACAUCUCUCAUUCCCCCCCUCCCUUGGGUCAGUAGACGUGUAGGUUCGAGGACCAGAGGUUGAAUCUUCUUGCAGUCUUUCUUGUUGCUCAUGGGGUAGAUGCUGUUGGGGGUGGGGGGGUAGGGGACAGUCUCAGGCAGCUGGCUGAAGGAAGGCAGGCCUGCCGGCCAGCUUGGUAUCCUGGCCUAGUGUGCGGAGGCAGUGCAGGGGCUCUGUGGCUGGGUGCCUAUGACACUGGAUCCAGAAUCCAGGAUUGUUGCCCCGGGUGAGCAGCGGGUUCUGAGUCCAACAUGGUAAAUACCCACUCAGGGGUUGCAGCAUAAGGUGGUGGGGGUCUGGUGCAGUCCUGGGGAGAGUUGCCGUUACCUUGGAGACCAGCUAAAGGUGGCUUGAAAGUUCCCCCCGUGGGAGAGGCCGCGGUCAGUCCUGGGAGGGCAGCCACAGUUGCUGUAGGGAUUGUCCACUGGCUUCAACAGGGCCUCCACUCUGGGAGCCACCAGCUGCCACACUCUCCAGUCCUUUGCUCUCCUCCUCAGCUGGAAGCUGGGCAUCCACUCCCACUUCCAAUACUCGGAUGGUCUCGUGGCCUGACAUCACAAUGACCUGC